rnacentral:lncRNA from 1 species
AAGCAGCAGCAGAAGCAUUGCUCAGUUCAGCACGAACAAAUUUAUAUAUACAAUCGGCAGUGGCGGAUCUACAUACAAUUCAGGGGUUCAUCCGAACCCCCUUCGGCGAAAAAUUAUACUAUUUUUAAUGGUCAAAAAUGUUUUUAUGCAUAUAUGAUAGAUGUUGAACCACCUUCGACUAGUUCGUAUAUUUACUUCUG